GCUAAAUAUUGUGAAUUUUUAAUGAUGCGGGAUAAAAAUUUGUAAACGGCAACCUAAUUCCUUAAUCAUUAUUUAUUAGAAGACGUUUCAAAAUAAUGUAUAAUCAAACUAAAUCUAUGGAAUUCCAUGGACGACAAUCAAUUACACUGCUUCCUGCUAGUGCUCUCUGCCACUGAUAGACGGUAAUUGCCACGGAGUACUGCCAGUUACGUGAUUGCUAAUAUUCGACUGAAGCAACAAUUCUGAAUAAAAGUGAGAAUACAGACUUUUAAGGGGAUGGGAGUUAUAGCAAAGUUAAGAUUGUACCUGUGACGCAGCACCUCUCCAUACCAGUUCUACACAAAAAAUACGGAAAGAUUUAUUUUCAAAUAUGAAGUACAUGAACUUUUUUGGAGAUUUUUUCCCCCAAAUUGAUGACUGAGGACAUUUCAAAUAAUAUAUAUCAAUUACAUUUUUUUCUUCGCAUAUUUUUUAACAGAUACACGAUACACGUAUCUUUAUUAUCAUUAAUGUAGAAUAUAUUCUGCUCCGGACCGACUAUGCCCUGAAUCCGCUAGGCACUUUAGAGCGGAUUCUUUCUUCUCCUCCGCUCCGGAUUUAUGCGCAUAUAGUCAACAGUAGUAGGCAGUUACGACGGGUUGUCACAUAGAAUUUCCUGGACAGGACAAUCCUUACAUUCACAGUGCUAUUUGUAACAAUCUCUUACCGGAUAUAAGCACUGGUAAUGAAGAUGACGAUGUUUCGAUGACUGCCAAUAUGCGAUUUCUUACAAAAGAGGUCCACGAACUGAAGGGCUAUAAACUGAACGAAUUGUGAUAACGUGGUUUUCCCUCGGUCGACAGAAGAAGAAAUGAUUAACAAUCCUUGUAUACCAAAUUUGACUUUGCAAAUCCUACACCCAGGAACGUAUGAAAGUGGAGGGAAACUAUAAAAAUUCCACCAAUCGUGAUCAUGCGGGAGUCCUCUGUGUCCAGAGCAGGGAUACAAUCCAGCCAACAAGCAUUUGCUAUGGAUCAGAUUUGAUGACAUUAGAAUCAGGUCGUAGUAUUGUAAAGGUUAAGUUUUAAGAGAUGUGGGAUCAUAUUUAAAUGAUAUGGUACUUGGCUUUCUCUCGUCUUAAGGAAAGAGCAGUUACCAUACGGUUAUGUGUCAUUAGUGUAGUGUUGUUGAAAACCUAUCGAGGGGUCGGAGAGCGACGAGGACACUGAAGAAUCCGUAGUAAUGUAGGGAAAGUCGAGGGACACAUUUGUUUAAGAUUUUGACAAUUUACAUGUACUUUGAAUUGAUGAGCAUGCGAUUGUUUUUGUUUGUUUUUAUCAUAAUACCAUUUAUGAUCAUGACCAGUGACUAGGAUAUACACAUACUCGUACAUAAUGGUAAGCACAUUUCACUUCGUGUAAUUUUAGAGAGAAAAAACUAUUAGACAAUAAAUAUGAAAGCUAAAGAUAUAAUGUAGAAUCAUGCUUAAAACAACCACAAUUUAAGUCAAUUGUUGAUAUUACGUUUGAAUAAACAUGUGCCAAAA